rnacentral:rRNA from 1 species
GACGAACGCUGGCGGCGUGCUUAACACAUGCAAGUCGAGCGGUAAGGCCCUUUCGGGGUACGACGAGCGGCGAACGGGUGGAGUAACAACGUGGGUGGACCUGCCCUCCAGCUCUGGGAGUAAGCCUGGGAAACCGGGUACUAAUACUGGAUAUGACUCCAUGACGCAUGUUGUGGGGUGGGAAGGCCUUGUGCGGCUGAGGAUGGGCCCGCGGCCUAUCAGCUUGUUGGUGGGGUGAUGGCCUACCAAGGCGA